CCAGAGGGCCAGGCGACCGCGGGGCAUUCCGAUGCCGCGAGGAAAGUCCGGGCUCCACGAAACCACGGUGCCGGGUAACGCCCGGCGGGGGCGACCCCAGGGAAAGUGCCACAGAGAGCAACCCGCCGAUGUGCCCAUGGGCGCAGGCAAGGGUGAAAGGGUGCGGUAAAAGCGCACCGCGCGACCGGCAACGGGAGCGGCAGGGCAAACCCCACCGGGAGCAAGACCGAAUAGGGGCGGCGCAUGGGCCUGGUUUCGGCCCGUCGCCCGGGUUGGUUGCUUGAGGCGGCGCGUGAGCGUCGCCCUAGAGGAAUGGUCGCCCAUCGCGUUCGCGCGAGGACAGAACCCGGCUUACAGGCCCUCUGGCAUG
rnacentral:RNase_P_RNA from 1 species